rnacentral:rRNA from 1 species
CGAUCAGUAGGGGUUCUGAGAGGAAGGUCCCCCACAUUGGAACUGAGACACGGUCCAAACUCCUACGGGAGGCAGCAGUGAGGAAUAUUGGUCAAUGGACGAGUGUCUGAACCAGCCAAGUAGCGUGCAGGAAGACGGCCCUAUGGGUUGUAAACUGCUUUUAUAAGGGAAUAAAGUGAGAGUCGUGACUCUUUUUGCAUGUACCUUAUGAAUAAGGACCGGCUAAUUCCGUGCCAGCAGCCGCGGUAAUACGGAAGGUCCGGGCGUUAUCCGGAUUUAUUGGGUUUAAAGGGAGCGUAGGCCGGAGAUUAAGCGUGUUGUGAAAUGUAGACGCUCAACGUCUGCACUGCAGCGCGAACUGGUUUCCUUGAGUACGCACAAAGUGGGCGGAAUUCGUGGUGUAGCGGUGAAAUGCUUAGAUAUCACGAAGAACUCCGAUUGCGAAGGCAGCUCACUGGAGCGCAACUGACGCUGAAGCUCGAAAGUGCGGGUAUCGAACAGGAUUAGAUACCCUGGUAGUCCGCACGGUAAACGAUGGAUGCCCGCUGUUGGUCUGAAUAGGUCAGCGGCCAAGCGAAAGCAUUAAGCAUCCCACCUGGGGAGUACGCCGGCAACGGUGAAACUCAAAGGAAUUGACGGGGGCCCGCACAAGCGGAGGAACAUGUGGUUUAAUUCGAUGAUACGCGAGGAACCUUACCCGGGCUUGAAUUGCAGAGGAAGGAUUUGGAGACAAUGACGCCCUUCGGGGCCUCUGUGAAGGUGCUGCAUGGUUGUCGUCAGCUCGUGCCGUGAGGUGUCGGCUUAAGCGCCAUAACGAGCGCAACCCCUCUCCUUAGUUGCCAUCAGGUUAAGCUGGGCACUCUGGGGACACUGCCACCGUAAGGUGUGAGGAAGGUGGGGACGACGUCAAAUCAGCACGGCCCUUACGUCCGGGGCUACACACGUGUUACAAUGGCAGGUACAGAGAGACGGUUGUACGUAAGUACGAUCAAAUCCUUAAAGCCUGUCUCAGUUCGGACUGGGGUCUGCAACCCGACCCCACGAAGCUGGAUUCGCUAGUAAUCGCGCAUCAGCCAUGGCGCGGUGAAUACGUUCCCGGGCCUUGUACACACCGCCCGUCAAGCCAUGAAAGCCGGGGGCGCCUAAAGUCCGUGACCGUAAGGAGCGGCCUAGGGCGAAACUGGUAAUUGGGGCUAAGUCGUAACAAGGUA